UCUGGAACUGGAAGAUGGGUCUAAGAGACAGCAGUGAGUGGACUGACAGCUCUGGGGCAUGGGGACCUUUCUCUGCCUGGGGAACCAUGAGAUCCACCCGUGUGCAGGGCCUCCUGGGACCAAGCAAGUGGAGGCAGCAUGCUUCCUACAGGUCGCCUCCCAGAUAAUUAACCAAGGCCAUUCAGAGAGGGCAUGGGUGUUUUAUCUUCCAGUUGGGUAUCCGUGAUUUUCCCAGAAAAAGUGUUAUUCAGCAUAGACUUCAAAUGGGAAGAGCAGGGACUGCCAUCCUUGCUGAUUAUACAUGGGGGACGAAGGAAAUAUUUACAGCUUGCGGAAGGUUUGGUUCAGGGCUGAGACCUCAUGAGAGAGAAGAGGAAGGCUGUGUCCUGAAAUCUUUUGCAGACUAUCCCCUUCCGUGCUUGGAGUGGUUCUGGGGUAGCAGCUAAUUACAUCAUCCUCCAGCCUGGCUUGGGCCUGGCCGAUAGUGGGGGGCAUUCUCCUGGCUGUCGUGGUCGGCCAGACGGGAGGACAUGUGACUGAUGCAGAGCCAAUCGGAGUCUUUCCCUGGGAGUUUAUGGACAGACACCAGAUGACUUCAUACCGAAUGGAUUUUAAGUGAAAUCUUGGGGGCUCUACAGAAUGCAGAAGACUAAGCUGGGGAUAUGUGUGACCUCAGAGAUUCGGCGGCGCUGCGAUGCCCGAGGAGCCACGUCGGGGCUGGGCCCUUGAGAGCCACUUAGUGGGGAUCGCAGUGGCUCCCAGCUCCCAACAGCCCACCGGGGCAUCGGGCAGGCCUGAGGGGGUGGUGGACGGACCCUAUCAGGACAUCGCCCAGGGGACCACUGUCUGCUGGCAGCCACCCUGUCCUUUUCUUUCCAGGGAAAAGCAAGAGAGAGUCGAGGCUGCGUUCGGGAAGCACCCCAGUCCCUGAGGCUGGGCACUGGGGAGGUGAGGUCCUGGGCUCCAAGCUACAGGGUCUCCCAGACUCACCGGGGAGGUGCUGGUCCUCCUGGGUGGGAGGGAGCUUGGAGCCUUCCCAGGAGAAAGGGAAGCCCACUGCUGGAGACCCCUGCGUCCUGUGACAACCAGAAGACCCCCAAAUACCCUGCAGCCAGCUCACAGGUUGCCCUUGCUGGGGAGCCUUUCAAAGGUUUUGAUCUGGGGGAGGGGACACCAGGGCCACUUUGUCCCGCUUUGUUUAGGUUGCUCUGGCCUGGAGAAUGGGUUGGGAGGUGGACUGGAAGCAGGGGACCAGCCGGGGGGCUGUUAAUGAUACCUGGACAAGUGGUGACAGGGCCUGGGCCCAGAGGAGUGGCAUUUGGGGUGGGGAGAAGGAGAUAUGGUGGGAUAUGGGAGGAAUUAGGAGGAUGUGUUAGCCAGGACUCAAACCUGAAAAUGUUAGACAUGCCACUCAAAUCAGCAUCAAUAACAAAAGGGAGAUGUGUAGCUCCCAUAUGCGGAAACUUCUGAGGCUUCAGGUAAGGCUGUAUCCAGGAGUUCCAGUGACACCCUCGGGACUGCUGCCCUCUACUCCUUGGCUUUGUGCACCUCCCAGCGCGCUCCUCUCAGGCAGGUUCUCUCUGGCCGAAGCUGCUCCAGCUUCCAGGUUGGGUGCCGGAUCCUUCUUUCCCCAUUGUUCCCCCACAAUCUCUGGAUUCUCUCUGACUCCACGGGGCUGUCAUGGGUCAUGUGCCAUCUGUCACAGGAUCACCAUGGUCGGCAACAGGAGGAGCUGAUUGAUGGGCUGGGGCCGUGUGUCCACUCCAACACCUGGAUGGACAGGGAGGCAUGUUGGUUCCAGGAGAGAUGGUCAAGAUCUUGUCACACUGCUAUGUGUUCACUGCUUCUCGUUCAGGGAAAAAGGAUGAGCCAGAGCAAUUUUGCUUUUUAUCUCCUGGGACAAUCGGCUUAUCACGCUGACGAUAAUCGGGAUGGGUUUUACAGGAAAACAACUUUUUUUUUUUUGGUCCAACGAAGAAAACAUUUUGAUGGUUCCUCGCUCUUUAGGAUCGACAUCAAGGUCUUUGGGAUCGUAGGGUGCCGUUUGUCCUUGAGGUCUCUGGGCUUGCGGUCACUUCCUGUCUCUCAGUGGCUCCCCUCUUCUGUCUGUGGUUCCAAAACAGUGAAGGGCAUGGGCGUGAAGGAUGCCUGGGUUCUGUUGCUCCUGAACUCUGGUCUCUAAUAACAAUCACCCCCAAACCACACAGGAGCCACAGUGGGAACCGUUCCAUGGAGCCAGGCAAGGGGUAAAUUUUGCACAACACUGGAUGUGCGGAGUCCAGGGCAGUGAUGGCUCUUGGUUGGCACUAGUAAAUAGCUGCUGAAUGCACGGAUGAGGCAAUGUUGAAAGCAUGUCAGCCUGCCGUUCUCACCACACUCGUGCCAACUGGCUGCAGGGACCAACAGGUGGAUCAGUGUGCUGCACGUACGUGGAGGUGUUUGCUGAACGUACGUGGAGGUGUUUGCAGAACUCAAGACGAGGCAGGAACAGGACAAGACUGUCUUUCCCCUUCUGUCUUCCUCCCUCCUUUGGGGUGCCAUGUUCUCAAGGGUGCGUGCUGCACCCCACUGGGCCCUCCUGGGUACCCCCUGAAUGCUGCUGGCGAGGCCAUGCAGAUUAGGGCAGAAGUAAAAAGACAAAACUUUGAGUUCUUUGGCUCCUUUGGGUUUAAAUCAAACUCUCACUGUAAUUUCAAACUACUUUUUUUUUUUUUUUGGUGGGUAUAUUUUAUACAGAGCAUAUUUCAAAUCAAAGAGAGAGAACAUUUCCCCCCCUUCUUCCCGUGAAAGGCAGGGGGUCUAAGACAUUUUAAUAGCUUUCAUAUUCCUCGCUCCAAAUAUAUUAUUUCAGCACAAUAGUUUCUUUGCGGGAGAAUUGCUUAAAUGAUUCAAAAUGGAUUUAAAAAUAUAUUUCAAGUUUUAAUUUUAUGCACAGAACAUUAAUGAGCGGAGUGCCUUAGAGACUGCCUGUCAGUUUAACAUAUUCACAAUAUUCUCAACACAGAUGUUAUUCCAUCUAAAUCCUUUUAGAGGGAAGAAACCAGUAAUUUUUUUCUUGGGGGAUGUCAGAAAAUAUAUUAUUUUU